rnacentral:rRNA from 1 species
UACGUAGGGGGCUAGCGUUGUCCGGAAUCAUUGGGCGUAAAGAGCGUGUAGGCGGCUAGAUAAGUCCGCUGUGAAAUCUCGAGGCUCAACUUCGAGCUGUCGGUGGAAACUAUCUGGCUAGAGUCCGGAAGAGGAGAAUGGAAUUCCUGGUGUAGCGGUGAAAUGCGCAGAUAUCAGGAAGAACACCCGUGGCGAAGGCGGUUCUCUGGGAAUAUCCUGACGCUGAGGAGCGAAAGUGUGGGGAGCGAACAGG